rnacentral:rRNA from 1 species
GAUGAACGCUAGCUACAGGCUUAACACAUGCAAGUCGAGGGGCAUCAGGGAGAUAGCUUGCUAUCUCCGCUGGCGACCGGCGCACGGGUGAGUAACGCGUAUCCAACCUGGCCCUCAGUAGGGAAUAGCCCGGCGAAAGUCGGAUUAAUGCCCUAUGUUCUCCUUUGCGGGCAUCUAACGAGGAGCAAAGAUUCAUCGCUGAGGGAUGGGGAUGCGUCUGAUUAGCUUGCCGGCGGGGUAACGGCCCACCGGGGCGACGAUCAGUAGGGGUUCUGAGAGGAAGGUCCCCCACAUUGGUACUGAGACACGGACCAAACUCC